ACUGACAUACAAGGGGUGCAGGUUAUCUCAUUUAUCACAUUUACUGACAUACAAGGGGUGCAGGUUAUCUCAUUUAUCACAUUUACUGACAUACAAGGGGUGCAGGUUAUCUCAUUUAUCACAUUUACUGACAUACAAGGGGUGCAGGUUAUCUCAUUUAUCACAUUUACUGACAUACAAGGGGUGCAGGUUAUCUCAUUUAUCACAUUUACUGACAUACAAGGGGUGCAGGUUAUCUCAUUUAUCACAUUUACUGACAUACAAGGGGUGCAGGUUAUCUCAUUUAUCACAUUUACUGACAUACAAGGGGUGCAGGUUAUCUCAUUUAUCACAUUUAUCGACAUACAAGGGGUGCGG